rnacentral:rRNA from 1 species
AUAUUGGACAAUGGUCGCAAGCCUGAUCCAGCCAUGCCGCGUGAGUGAUGAAGGCCUUAGGGUUGUAAAGCUCUUUUAGCAGGGAAGAUAAUGACGGUACCUGCAGAAAAAGCCCCGGCUAACUUCGUGCCAGCAGCCGCGGUAAUACGAAGGGGGCUAGCGUUGUUCGGAUUUACUGGGCGUAAAGCGCACGUAGGCGGAUCGUUAAGUCGGGGGUGAAAUCCUGGAGCUCAACUCCAGAACUGCCUUCGAUACUGGCGAUCUUGAGUCCGGAAGAGGUGAGUGGAACUCCUAGUGUAGAGGUGGAAUUCGUAGAUAUUAGGAAGAACACCAGUGGCGAAGGCGGCUCACUGGUCCGGUACUGACGCUGAGGUGCGAAAGCGUGGCGAGCAAACAGG